rnacentral:sRNA from 1 species
CUGCAAUAGGGAUAGUAGUGGAAAUCCUUUUUUUCUGCUGCCUUCGACUCCGCUGAGGCAGCAGAAAAAAAGAUUGCAGCGGAUAGCCCGACCCGAG